AACGAACGCUGGCGGCAUGCCUAACACAUGCAAGUCGAACGAAACCUCCGGGGCUAGUGGCGCACGGGUGCGUAACGCGUGGGAAUCUGCCCUUUGCUUCGGAAUAACAGUUAGAAAUGACUGCUAAUACCGGCUGAUGUCUCCGGACCAAAGAUUUAUCGGCAAAGGAUGAGCCCGCGUAGGAUUAGGUAGUUGGUGGGGUAAAGGCCUACCAAGCCGACGAUCCUUAGCUGGUCUGAGAGGAUGAUCAGCCACACUGGGACUGAGACACGGCCCAGACUCCUACGGGAGGCAGCAGUGGGGAAUAUUGGACAAUGGACGCAAGUCUGAUCCAGCAAUGCCGCGUGAGUGAUGAAGGCCUUAGGGUUGUAAAGCUCUUUUACCAGGGAUGAUAAUGACAGUACCUGGAGAAUAAGCUCCGGCUAACUCCGUGCCAGCCGCCGCGGUAAGAC
rnacentral:rRNA from 1 species